AUUGAACGCUGGCGGCAGGCCUAACACGUGCAAGUCGAGCGGUUGAGGUAGCUUGCUACCGAUGCAGCGGCGGACGGGUGAGUAAUACAUGGGAAUCUGCCUGGUAGUGGGGGACUACGUUUCGAAAGGAACGCUAAUACCGCAUACGCCCUACGGGGGAAAGGGGGGGAUCUUCGGACCUCUCGCUAUCAGAUGAGCCCAUGUCGGAUUAGCUUGUUGGUGAGGUAAAGGCUCACCAAGGCGACGAUCCGUAACUGGUCUGAGAGGAUGAUUAGUCCCACUGGAACUGCGACACGGUCCAGACUCCUACGGGAGGCAGCAGUGGGUAAUAUUGGACAAUGGGCGCAAGCCUGAUCCAGCCAUGCCGCGUGUGUGAAGAAGGCCUUAGGGUUGUAAAGCACUUUCAGUGGGGAGAAAGGUCAUUCACCUAAUACGUGAGUGAAUUGAUGUUACCCACAGAAGAAGCACCGGCUAACUCCGUGCCAGCCGCCGCCAUAA
rnacentral:rRNA from 1 species